UACGAAGGGGGCUAGCGUUGCUCGGAAUCACUGGGCGUAAAGCGCACGUAGGCGGAUUGUUAAGUCAGGGGUGAAAUCCUGGAGCUCAACUCCAGAACUGCCUUUGAUACUGGCGAUCUUGAGUCCGGGAGAGGUGAGUGGAACUGCGAGUGUAGAGGUGAAAUUCGUAGAUAUUCGCAAGAACACCAGUGGCGAAGGCGGCUCACUGGCCCGGUACUGACGCUGAGGUGCGAAAGCGUGGGGAGCGACAG
rnacentral:rRNA from 1 species